CCAAAGUACAAAAACAGAGCAUAAAAACAAUGUGUCUGAUUAUAGACUCAGAAUAACACAUCUGUCUUUUGUAAUAACAUUAUUCUGUCAUUUGUAUCCAGCUGACAAAAUACUAAAUAAUGUCUUAUACUUGUAUGCCGAUGUUCAAUGUGCAUUGAUUAACAAAAUCCUAUAGAUAUACACUGUUGAUCCAAGAGGUAUUAUUCACUACAUACAUAAUUCAAGACUUG